rnacentral:rRNA from 1 species
GAUGAACGCUGGCGGCGUGCUUAACACAUGCAAGUCGAACGAUGAUCCGGUGCUUGCAUCGGGGAUUAGUGGCGAACGGGUGAGUAACACGUGAGUAACCUGCCCUUAACUCUGGGAUAAGCCUGGGAAACUGGGUCUAAUACCGGAUAUGACUCCUCAUCGCAUGGUGGGGGGUGGAAAGCUUUUGUGGUUUUGGAUGGACUCGCGGCCUAUCAGCUUGUUGGUGAGGUAAUGGCUCACCAAGGCGACGACGGGUAGCCGGCCUGAGAGGGUGACCGGCCACACUGGGACUGAGACACGGCCCAGACUCCUACGGGAGGCGGCAGUGGGGAAUAUUGCACAAUGGGCGGAAGCCUGAUGCAGCGACGCCGCGUGAGGGAUGACGGCCUUCGGGUUGUAAACCUCUUUCAGUAGGGAAGAAGCGAAAGUGACGGUACCUGCAGAAGAAGCGCCGGCUAACUACGUGCCAGCCGCCGCAGUAA